GUAAUGAUUUUGGAACAAACUCUCAAAUUAUUGAAAUAUUUUAUGUUCAAGCUUCAUUAUGCCUAAUAUAAAUAUGAAGAUUCACAUUUAUUUUAUGCCCAAUUUAAGGAAACAUUAGUUCAAGAGCUUAUUUUUUGCCUUGUUAAAUAAGCUUUUGGAAUGAAUAAAUUGAGGAAAUGAGUGGUGAUUUGUUUAUAAUAGAGCAUUUGUGAUAGCUUUUAACUAUGCAUGAAAAUCAUUUGUUAUAUGUAAGUAGAGUAACAUGCUUGUACUGAAAUUAGACAUUACAUUGAAAACUUCUUAUUUGUUACAAUUUGCUAUAUAUAAUACCUUUACCAAAAGAGAAUAAAUUCACUAGAUCCUUUUUUUUCUUAUUUAUUUCUAUAGUUGAAUAGACUCUAUAUCUUCGGUAUUUUUAUUGAA
rnacentral:lncRNA from 1 species